rnacentral:lncRNA from 1 species
AGUUACUUGACAGCAGUAUCCAAUUUUAGGCUUUUAGCCAAUGAUCUAACACUAGCGAGUUAAGAACUGCUUUCAUAUUUUAUCCCUUGUCAAUCGGUGCCAUCUUGUGUUUCAAUUGGCCAUAGAGGAACUCUCAAUUGUUCAUCUCCUUAUAAGUACAUUUAUAAGAGAUGAAUUAUCCUACUUUGCUUUGAUCAUAUGUUUUAAUUGUUUAUUUUUGGGGUUUUAAGUAUGCUGUCUGUAGUCCUAUCACAAUCACUUUUGCCUUGAGUGCAGGUAUGUCUUUGGCAGGCAUAUUCAUCUACCAACUUAGCUGUAUUUAAAUGUUUAUGCUUGCCUUUAGUCUGAACUAUAACCUACAUUGUCUUACAUUAUCUUGGCAUU